rnacentral:siRNA from 1 species
GCACGAUGACCUGACGAGAAUUGA